CCCCCAGUAACUGCGAGUGAAGAGGGAAGAGCUCAUCAUUGGAAUCUGGCAGCGUUGCGCUGUCCGAGUUGUAGAUGAGAAGAGUAGGUCAUCUGGACUGCGUGGUGUCCAAGUACAAUAGGCCGUCAGUGGGACAUCAUAGAGGGUGACAAUCCCGUCCUUGACAACCAACGUACGAGUCCAUUACGAUGCCUAUCUCAGAGAGUCGAGCAGUUUGGGAUUUGCUGCUUAAACAUGGGAGGUAGAUUCCUUCUAAAGCUAAAUACAGGCAAGAGACCGAUAGAGAACAAGUACCGCAAGGGAAAGAUGAAAUAGAACUCUGUGAAGGGAGUCAAAAAGACGUGAAAUUGUUGCGAGAGAAGCGAUUCAAGUCAGCGUAGCUAGGCCCAUCAAGCUUCUUGCUUUGGACUAGCUUUGCCAGCGGUCUUGUCCUUUUAGAGACUUGACUUUUGACGUGCCCUGUCCGGUCUAACGGGCAGGCCCUUCGGGGCCAGUGGCAUGGCUGGUGGAAUGGCUUGCAAUCGACCCGUCUUGAAACACGGACCAAGGAGUCUAACAUGUGUGCGAGUAUAAGGGUGGCAAACCCGUAUGCGCAAAGAAAGUGAUAGCCUUUUUAUGGCUGAGAAUGGCCUGAUGACCAGACAAGCAAUAUUAUGUUCCUCGUACGGUCAUUGCCCAAGUCCCGUGGUCAGAUCCCAUGGACAUGGAGUUAGAGCAUACAUGCUAGGACCCGAAAGAUGGUGAACUAUGCCUGGACAAAGCGAAGCCAAAGGAAACUCUGGUGGAGGCUUGUAGCGAUUCUGACGUGCAAAUCGAUCGUCUGAUCUGGGUAUAGGGGCGAAAGACUAAUCGAACCAUCUCAUAGCUGGUUCCUGC
rnacentral:rRNA from 1 species